rnacentral:piRNA from 1 species
UGGGGUGCAGUUGUGGUGAAUGAAACCAAUA